CUCAAAAAAGUGGGCAUCAACUUGCAGCUUCGCCAUAUUCGAAUACAUAGAGUGACUUGGAUUCAUUGACUUUUUACGCAGGAAAGCCCUUCUUCUGAGCCGAAUUAUACAUGAGGGAAUAUAGGAAAACCAAAUCAAAGGUAUUUUAAAGAUACUUUGUCGAUGGGAUUCGGCCACCGAAACUGUGUAGUUAUAGGCUGUCCUAACAGUGGACAAAGGCUAGGAAAAUGGGCUGCUACGACCUGUGUACUUCAUGGUUGGAAAAAUGGCUCAAGCAUGUGUCACUGCCAGCCACCCUUCAAAUUAUUCCCAUUCACGACAGAAAAGAAGAAACCGGAACGCCGAUUACAAUGGGAAAAAAAUAUCAAUAGGAACAGUUUGAAUGGGACUCUUUGGAUGACUAACAAGGAUUCGUUUAAUCAAACAUUUCGUUUAAUCAAACAUGAACUGCCUCUCUCUUAUCGGUAAUCUCGGUAAUAUUAUCAUUGUCUGUGUUGCAUUAUUCAAUUUGUACAAGCCUCUUAGUAAGUAACAUGUUUCUUUUUGUCUUUUUGUUUUUUUUCAAGCCAUAAAGUAAAAUGUGUAAUGCACGAAAAAAGCCAUACUCCCACCAUGGAGAGCAUUGGAAAUUCCAAUUAGGGAGGGGUUUUGCUGCAAGUUUUUUAAGGAACUGAGAACAGUAUAAUUAAUGUUAGAAGCAACUUUUUGUAAUUAACAUCUUUAAGAACAUUUUCUACUUUUGAAAUUGGAUAUCAAGGAUCAAACAAAGCUAUGGCUAUACAAUAAUACAUGCACUUGUUCAAUAAUUAUAAUGUACAGGCUAUAUGGAGAUAUGACUUGCUGUUUACAAAAUUUUCUCAGUCUGAUGAAUUUUCUAGGUUUUUUUUACAUAAAAUAUUUUUGAAGUAGUUUCAGCGCUGGUGAAAGACAAAUAAUGUAAGAUAAUUAUUAUAAAACCAGGCUAAAUUUUCUUCAAGCCUACACUAGUAUGUGGCAUUAAAGGUGAUUGUUUCCAUGUGA